AGAGUUUGAUCCUGGCUCAGGAUGAACGCUAGCUACAGGCUUAACACAUGCAAGUCGAGGGGAAACGAUAUUGGAAGCUUGCUUCCGAUAGGCGUCGACCGGCGCACGGGUGAGUAACGCGUAUCCAACCUGCCCACCACUUGGGGAUAACCUUGCGAAAGUAAGACUAAUACCCAAUGACGUCUCUAGAAGACAUCUGAAAGAGAUUAAAGAUUUAUCGGUGAUGGAUGGGGAUGCGUCUGAUUAGCUUGUUGGCGGGGUAACGGCCCACCAAGGCGACGAUCAGUAGGGGUUCUGAGAGGAAGGUCCCCCACAUUGGAACUGAGACACGGUCCAAACUCCUACGGGAGGCAGCAGUGAGGAAUAUUGGUCAAUGGACGAGAGUCUGAACCAGCCAAGUAGCGUGCAGGAUGACGGCCCUAUGGGUUGUAAACUGCUUUUAUAAGGGAAUAAAGUGGGUCACGUGUGACUUUUUGCAUGUACCUUAUGAAUAAGGACCGGCUAAUUCCGUGCCAGCAGCCGC
rnacentral:rRNA from 1 species